rnacentral:rRNA from 1 species
AAGCGAGCGUAGGUGGCUUGAUAAGUCAGAUGUGAAAGCCCCGGGCUUAACCUGGGAACGGCAUCUGAUACUGUUAGGCUAGAGUAGGUGAGAGGAAGGUAGAAUUCCAGGUGUAGCGGUGAAAUGCGUAGAGAUCUGGAGGAAUACCGAUGGCGAAGGCAGCCUUCUGGCAUCAUACUGACACUGAGGUUCGAAAGCGUGGGUAGCAAACAGGAUUAGAUACCCUGGUAGUCCACGCCGUAAACGAUGUCUACUAGUCGUUGGGUCCCUUGAGGACUUAGUGACGCAGCUAACGCAAUAAGUAGACCGCCUGGGGAGUACGGCCGCAAGGUUAAAACUCAAAUGAAUUGACGGGGGCCCGCACAAGCGGUGGAGCAUGUGGUUUAAUUCGAUGCAACGCGAAGAACCUUACCUGGUCUUGACAUAUCUAGAAUCCUGCAGAGAUGCGGGAGUGCCUUCGGGAAUUAGAAUACAGGUGCUGCAUGGCUGUCGUCAGCUCGUGUCGUGAGAUGUUGGGUUAAGUCCCGCAACGAGCGCAACCCUUGUCCUUAGUUACCAGCGGUUUGGCCGGGAACUCUAAGGAUACUGCCAGUGACAAACUGGAGGAAGGCGGGGACGACGUCAAGUCAUCAUGGCCCUUACGACCAGGGCUACACACGUGCUACAAUGGUAGGUACAGAGGGCAGCUACACAGCGAUGUGAUGCGAAUCUCAAAAAGCCUAUCGUAGUCCAGAUUGGAGUCUGCAACUCGACUCCAUGAAGUAGGAAUCGCUAGUA